rnacentral:rRNA from 1 species
AGUGAACGCUGGCGGUAGGCCUAACACAUGCAAGUCGAACGGCAGCACAGAGGAGCUUGCUCCUUGGGUGGCGAGUGGCGGACGGGUGAGGAAUACAUCGGAAUCUACUCUGUCGUGGGGGAUAACGUAGGGAAACUUACGCUAAUACCGCAUACGACCUACGGGUGAAAGCAGGGGAUCUUCGGACCUUGCGCGAUUGAAUGAGCCGAUGUCGGAUUAGCUAGUUGGCGGGGUAAAGGCCCACCAAGGCGACGAUCCGUAGCUGGUCUGAGAGGAUGAUCAGCCACACUGGAACUGAGACACGGUCCAGACUCCUACGGGAGGCAGCAGUGGGGAAUAUUGGACAAUGGGCGCAAGCCUGAUCCAGCCAUACCGCGUGGGUGAAGAAGGCCUUCGGGUUGUAAAGCCCUUUUGUUGGGAAAGAAAUCCAGCCGGCUAAUACCUGGUUGGGAUGACGGUACCCAAAGAAUAAGCACCGGCUAACUUCGUGCCAGCAGCCGCGGUAAUACGAAGGGUGCAAGCGUUACUCGGAAUUACUGGGCGUAAAGCGUGCGUAGGUGGUUAUUUAAGUCCGUUGUGAAAGCCCUGGGCUCAACCUGGGAACUGCAGUGGAUACUGGAUGACUAGAAUGUGGUAGAGGGUAGCGGAAUUCCUGGUGUAGCAGUGAAAUGCGUAGAGAUCUGGAGGAACAUCCAUGGCGAAGGCAGCUUACCUGGACCAACAUAAGACACUGAGGCACGAAAGCGUGGGGAGCAAACAGG